AGGAAGCGAAAUAAGGGCGCAUGGGGGAUGCCUGGGCUCUCAGAGACGACGAAGGACGUGGUAAGCUGCGAAAAGCUGCGGGGAGCUGCAAACGAGCGUUAUAUCCGCAGAUGUCCGAAUGGGGCAACCCGUACAGUUGAAGGCUGUACAUCCCUGCAAAGGGAAGGUAACCCGGGGAACUGAAACAUCUAAGUACCCGGAGGAGGAGAAAACAAUAGUGAUUCCGUAAGUAGUGGCGAGCGAAAGCGGAAGAGCCCAAACCAUGGCGGUACGCCGUCGUGGGGUAGUAGGACCGACGCAAUCUGAAAGGAGCGAAGUGGAAGUUCUUUGGAAAGAGACACCAAAGAGGGUGAAAGUCCCGUACACGUAAGCGAAUUUUGGAGGUUGGUAUCCUGAGUAGGGCGGGGCCGGAGGAACCCUGUCUGAAUUAGCCGGCACCAUCCGGUAAGGCUAAAUACUCCUGAGAGACCGAUAGUGAACCAGUACCGUGAGGGAAAGGUGAAAAGAACCCCAAGAAGGGGAGUGAAAAGAACCUGAAACCAUGCGCCUACAAGCGGUCGGAGCCCGGCACUUUUGCGAAAAAGUGCGGGGUGACGGCGUGCCUUUUGCAUAAUGAGCCUACGAGUUACCGUGACCGGCGAGUUUAAUCCCCUCAGGGGAGCAGGCGAAGCGAAAGCGAGUCUUAACAGGGCGCCGAGCCGGUUGUGGUAGACGCGAAACCGGGUGAUCUACCCAUGGGCAGGUUGAAGUUCCGAUAGUCUCGGGAUGGAGGACCGCACCAGUACAUGUUG
rnacentral:rRNA from 1 species